GAUGAACGCUAGCUACAGGCUUAACACAUGCAAGUCGAGGGACGGGCGCACGGGUGAGUAACACGUAUACAACCUGCCCUUUAAUCGGGGAUAGCCUUUAGAAAGAACGAGUAAUACCCGAAAUCACGGAUGGGGCUGCGUUUCAUUAGGGUGUUGGUGAGGUAACGGCACACCAAGCAUUCGCUGGAUAGGGGUUCGGAGAGGAAGGUCCCCCGCAUUGGAACUGAGGCACGGUCCAAAAGCCGACGGGAGGCAGGAGGUAGGCAUAUUGUUCAAUGUGCGGUAGCCUGAAACAGCCAAGUAGCGUGAAGGAUGAAGGCUUAGGGGUCGUAAACUUCUUUUAUAUAAGAAUAUGUAUUAUAUGAAGAAGGAUCGGCUAACUCCGUGCCAGCAGCCGCGGUAAUAC
rnacentral:rRNA from 1 species